rnacentral:lncRNA from 1 species
CCGACGAUUCUGGCGUCGAUGAGGAACCCAUGGUCUAUAGCGCGUCAUCCGUAGUCCGUUGUACCUUACCGGCGAAAUCUCCAGAUCGAAAUCAAGAGAGUUCGUGGCAGGGAAAAGCUUAUGUGGGACGCUACCGGUAAGAGCUCUAUCGGCAGUGUGGCGACGUGGAGUGAAGAAUGAGGUUUUCGACGGGGAAUGAGAAAAGUCGGCGGUUAGUUCUUGACAAUUGGAGACGCAUGAGGUUCUGUUACGGCCCGUGUUUUGAUGGGGAGGCAGAGCCGGUCCGGAGGGCAAGCAAGUGAAGCCAUCGCUUAGGGUCUCACAUUAUAAAAUUUUUUUUUUGGGAGAAUUUUUUUUUUUACAUUAACAAAAAGGCCUAAAUUUUUAGUUAUGCGUAGGGUAUCAAAGAAAAUUUUGAAACUUUGGACCGGCCCUGUGGGAAGGUCUACGGCCGGUAAGGCAAAGCUAUGCAACCGUCGAUGGUUGUCUUCUUCUACUCCCUACUACUUUAUCUCUCUCACGACUGAACUGUAGUUUUUCGAUGGUACGGUUUUGAUCGGUUCUUCUUCUUUCUCUUCAUAGCUCUAUGGUUGCGGGAUGGCGAUGGUCCAGUGUCUUCUACGUUCGACUCCCAUCUUCCUGGCUCACCGGUGGUCCUGUUUCGGCGAGUAUCCGCUGAUUCGUGGGAAGGCGGCUCGAACGGUUUUCCGAUAGAAGAUUAGGGUUUAUGUGUUCUUGGUUUAAAUCGGUUAUCUGCUAAGUUAGAUUGGUUUUAUUUUCGGAUCGGUUUUGGUUUGGUUUCCUGGUUUGGAUGGUGUAAUUGGAUUGGAUCCUAAGAGCAUGAUUAUGGGUGGGUUCUUAGUAUUUGCUCUUAGCAAUAUUUAAAUAAUUUAUUUGUAAAAGUGAUUGUUAAGAGAUAAUAUUUUUGAGUUAAGAUUUUUGUGUGAUUAAUGGUAGGCUCUUAACAUGUGGUUCUUAAAAAAAAAUUAAUAUAAAACAAAAAUUCAUAAUUAUAGAAAAUUUAAUAAUUGUUACAAAUUAAAAAAAUUAUAACAUACAUGAGAUACAAUUUAUAACAUACAUAACAUAAAGCAUAAAUGUUUUAAACUUAAGGGUAUUGCUGUUUGGCCUAUUCCGAAAAUAGCCCAAUUGACAUAUGUUUUUAAUAAAAUUGUAAGCUUUUACAAAAGAAAAAUAAAAAAUAAUAGAAAAAGUAUCUCAUAUUUAAAGAUAUUUUUUUUAACAAAAAUGAGGAGAUAAUAAAUUAAACUAAAUUUAAGUAAAUAAAAUGAAAAGGACAGAUAACAAUAAGUCAUUAAAAUAUAAUAAAAUAUGUGAUAUUAAAUAAAAACAGUUAAUAGUGAUCCAGUUUAAUAUGAUUUGAAAGGAUACAUCCAAAAUAUUAGUUACUAUUAGAAUUGAAUGAAAUUAAAACGAUAGGAUCUGAAAAGAUUUGUUAUUCAUCAAUCAGUAAAUUAUACUAACAUAUAUGACAAACCUUUAAUUUAAAAAGCAUAUAUGUCUAGCACUUACUAUUAUCUAGUUUUGAUUCUGAAAUUGUUAAAAAUAUCCCUUUUGGUGUGCCAUUUUUCAAAAAUGCCCCUUUUAGAUGUCCAUUUUAAAAAAUGCCCCUUUUAGAUGUACAUUUUAAAAAAUGCCCCUUUUUAAAUCUAAAUUUUUUAUAAAGUUUUAUUAGGUUUAUAAGGUACUUAUGGAUUGUAACUACUACUUGAAGACUCGAUCCAAGUAUUUAUAAGGUUUUAUAAGGUGUUUUUAAAGGUUUUACAAGUUAUUUUAAAGGAUUUUUAAGGUUUUUCAAAGGUUUUACAAGAUAUUUUAAAGGUUCUUAAAGGUAUUUAAAAUGCAUUUAUAAGGUAUUUAUAAAGUAUUUAUAAGAUUUUAGAAACAUAGAAAUGUAGUUUGUGUAUGUUUUAAUAAUAUUACAUACAUAUUUGGGUAAAUCUUAUAUUUUUAAGAGCAUUUUCAUAAGGUUUUAAAAAAGGGGUACUUUUGAAAAGUGGCAUUGAAAAAGUGGCAUUUUUGCAAAAGCCUUCAUUUUUUCUCGUAUAACCUAAUUUUGAAAAAAAUAUAUAUACAAUUGGAACGAUUUCUCUCAUCUUAAUAUUCGAUCAUUAUAACAUCUCACCGAAAAAAUACUCUCUACAGCAAUAUAACGAUAAGAUUAUUUCUACAAUGAUGUUAUAUGAACUAGGAUAUGACCCGCGGUGUACCGCGGGUUAAUUAUUUGAUUUUAAUCUUUUUAUAAACUGAUGAAUUUGUUGUAUAUAAUAUUUUUUUGUUGUACACCGCGGGUCACAUGCGUUGUAACUAAAAAUAGAAAUUUUAAGUUGUAUUUGUUUUGUUUAGUGUUUAAAAUUGUAUAAUUGUAUUUUGAUUUGUUAAUCCUACUAUUUCACCCGUGAUAUAUUGUCCCGUAUUAAUAUCAAUCCAAACCCGUCCCACCAUAUAAUCCAUUCCCGUAAAAUUAAACAUCAUUUUGUUAUUUCUUUUAAUAACGCUUUUAUUUAAAAGACAUAUAAUUCAAGUCAAUUUAAAAGUUUGCUUUCAAAUGGAUUCCAUAAUAUAUAUAUUUAAAUUAGUGUGGGUUUUUGUACCAACCCGUAAAAAUAAUUUAUAAUUGUAUCUUAAAAUACUAAAUAAUUGUAUUUUGAUUUGUUAAUUUUAGGAUUUCAACCGUGGUAUAUUGUUCCCUUUUGGAUAAUUGUAAAAAUUAAGGAAAUAUCCGAAUGACUCAUUUCCGGGACAGAGUAAAAAAAAAAUAUGACCUGAUUAAACGCGCAAAUUUGUUCUUAAAAAAUAUUAAUAUAGAUUGUACACAUACUUUUUUCUUUAUCGAUUGAGUAAUAUAUGUCUGUUUUAAAAAAUUUAAAUCAUAGCGUAUUGCAAAAAAAAACGGAAAUUUUAUUAACUAUAUAAAUUUUAUAAUAAUUCAAAAUAAUAUAAAUAUAAGAUCAUAUAAAAGUGAAAUAAGAAUCAUAUAUUUAUGUUUAAAUUAGGUAGAGAAGUUUUAGGAAAUUAGCUCAAAUUUGUUAUAUUAGCAUUAAAUCAUCAUAUUUGAUUUCCUUAUCUAUAAAAAUCAUAGAGAAUAUGCCAUAAAUAAAGAGUUCAUGUAUAGUAAUUAGUUGAAUAUAUAUAUAUAUAUAUUUUUAGAUUUUAUUAAAUAAUUUUGUUUUAAAAUUUUGCCAACAUUUAAGGGAAGAUCCAAUUGAAGAUUUCCGGGUCAAAAUUGAAACAAAAUUCGACCCGAUUAGGAUCCCUUAAAAGUGUUGCAAAAAUGUAUAGUAGAUGUUAAAAAUUCUCAAGAAGAACAACGAUAUUAUUAACCAAGUGGUAACGGUCCGUGAUUUCUAUUUGAGAAGUUCUCUAUUGGGGCAGAAAUCGAUUCCCAUAAAACGUGAAAGUAUAUAAUCACUAGAUUUUAACCCGCGGUACAUCGUGGGAUGAUUUAAUUUUAAAGUUAAUAUAAAAGUAUUUUGUAAAUUGUAUCUCUUUAUAACAUAUUUAUUUAUAUUAUAGUUUACAAUUGUUAUUAAGUAACGGUAUACCACGAGUCUACGAGACAACUAUUAAUAAACUGAAGAUUUAACCCGUAUUAAAGUGGUAUAUAAAUAUUGAUUCAAAUUCGUCCGCCAUAUAAAUCCUUUCUAAAAUAUAACCCGUUCCAUAAUUUCUUAACCCGUCCCGUGAUUUUUUUUUAUUUUAAAAUUUAAUGAUUAUUUAUUAUUUAUAAAAUUUUACAAUACAUAUCAUUCUCUAAGACAUUUAUAUUUUAAUAAACUAAAGAUUUCAUAUGUUUUAAAGCGGCAUGUUAAUGAUAUUUUAAAAUUUUAUAAAUAUUGUUAUUAAGUAACAUUAUACCACGGGACAAUUUUUGGUUUUAUACAAUCUUUUCUAAAUGAGACUGAUUUAAUAUGUCUAAUAUUUGUGGUAUUAAAACAAAAGAUUUAAUCCGUAUUGAAGCGGCGGAUUAAUGAUAUUUUAAUCUUUUUAUUAUUGUUGAUUCAAAAACCCGUCCCGCCAAACCCGUCCGGCCAAAAAACUCAUUUAUUUUGUUAAUGUUCUUAUUUAUGAUAUGAUUCUGAAUCAUUGUCUAAAUAUUUUAAUCGAUGUAAAACGUUGAACACACAUUUUCGUUAACUGGAUAAUAUAUGUCCGUUUUUUAAAUUUCGAAUCACAGUAUAUGCAGAAAAAAAUUGAAUUUUUUUUUUUACUUUAUGUAUUAUCUGAUGAUUCAAAACAGUUAAAAACAAAUCAAACAAAGAUGAUAGGAGAAUCAUAAUUAUAAAUCUUAAUCAAAUCUUCUAAAUAUCUAAAUUAUUAAAUAUGGAAUAUCCGGUGUAUGAGUUGGGUUAAAUAUAACCCGAUCCAACAAAUUUUUUGUGAAAGAAUUUUGAAAACGGGUCAGAUAUCCGAUAUACCCGGAAAUAUUUUUACCCACCCGUCAUCAAAGUAUUGCAAAAAUACUAGUAUAGAUAUUCUUAUUUGGUCAGCCAAAAUAGUGUCAUAUCAUUAAAAAAACCCGGUGAAUAGAUUACUCGACGGGUACAAUCACCCAACAAAAUUAGUUGGAUAUAUAGUAAGAACCCGGAUCACCACUGGUUAAAAAAACAACAACGUAGUAAAUCAUUUCUUCUUUCUUCUUUUUAGCUACGAUUCAACAGAAAUACAUGUGAGGACUAACAAAAUAUUCUUAGAACAUGUUACACCACACUAGCAUAGUUACGUUAAUCCAACUUUGAAGCUCAAAAAAAAGCUUUUGAACAUUGUCUACAAAGUCAAUAUGAAAGAAUAAUAAUUUAAAAGGAUCAUUAAAAAUAAUUUUGACAAAUAAUUUGGUAAUGUGAAUAGUUAGUUAUUCGAUCUUCCUAGAAUAGUGGAAACGUUUAGUAGGAGAAAGAGGGCAAAAGUCUUUGAAUGGCUAUUACAUUUCCAAUAAUGUCUUCAACAAAAUAAACCAAACAACACUCGCCAAUGAUUGCUCCAUAGUUGUUAGUAAUGAUUUGUUUAUUAAAGUUGAUAAUAAUUAACAAAUCAAUGAUCACGUUACUAAAAAUAAAUAAAGCAAUGACCCGAUGGCUCCUUUUUAAAACAAAACGCCGGAUAUUUUAAGUGGUUUUCAGUUUUCUUGUUGACAAUGACUAUACUAAUAAUAAUAUAUAUUUCGAAAACAGUGUACUCAAACUGCCGCCAUAUAAACAAAAAUCUUAAACAGUGUAAACAAACUUAAAACUCUCCUCAUUUGCGUUCAUAAUUAAAAAAAAAAAAAAAAGGUUGUAACAUAAUCUUGAAAUACUAGUCCAUCAUAAAAAAAAACAUUUUAGCCAAAAAAAAAAAUUAAAUCUAAAUAAACAGUUGAGAUCCUGAUCUCAAAUGAAAUGAAAAAAUUAAGUUAUCUAGGACAAUAUUCAUAGUUUUCAAAAAAAAAAAAAAAAAAAAAAAAGGACAAUAUUCAUAUGAUUAAUGUCUAUACUAUAAAAUAUAAAAUAGAAAUUAUCUGUUGUGAUUUUGAUAAAUAUGGAAAACUAUAUUAUAAUAUGUAAUUUUUUUAGUAGAGAUGUAGUUUUAUACUUUUUCAAUAUUAUAGUAUAUCAUAUUUUCAAUCAUAUAAUAUUAAAUUAGGACCCACCCGAUGUACGGGUUUUUGAUUUUUAUUAUAAUAUUAAAUUUAACAAACCGAAUUAAAUGUUUCUCGUAGUUGAAUGUUAUUUAGAAAUAUUUUUAAAAAAUAAUAGAAAAUAAUUUACUUAAUAAAAAAUUUAUGUACAUACUCCUUAUGUGGGUGUAAUUUCUAAAGUAAUACCAGUUUUUAAAAUGCAUUAAAAUUUAUAAAGUAAAACGUAACAAUUAUAUUCUAACAUCCUCACUAAAUUCAUUCUUUUCUUUUUUUUUUUUUUUUUUUUUUUUUUUUCUGUUUUCACUUGCGAAUAAAAUUACAAUACACCCAUAAAUACAAUUUGUAUCCAACUAAAUUAAUGUUAAAUAACUUAUAUUGUUCUUUUGAACUUCAAUGAUCAUUUUUUUUGGUUCGUAUCCAUGCUGAAUAAAUUAAAACUUUUUGAUAGAUGUCAAAAAUCGACCAAUAAAAGUUUAUUGAUAGAUGUAAGAACUAAACACUUUGGAAUUCACUGUAUUUAUAUCCAAAAUCUUCAAUAUAUAUAUAUUUUUUUUGUCGUCUAGAUUUAUUAUUAAUUGCAAAUUGUGAGAACUGUUACAUAGACGAUUCUACAACUGACAAUUCAUUCUGACCCUUACUAGAUCCACGACAGACUACACUUCCUUCUUCAUGAUCUUGAUGAAUAUCUUCAAUGAUCCACGACCUGGCCAAACUUCCUUCUCUGCGUAGAAUCCUGGCGAACGGCUAUAAUUGUACAUCGCUGGAGAUCUCCUGCACACUUGCCUCCAUUAAUCUACAAAUUUGUUAAUAAAUCGCAAUAUCUGGGACUCGAACCCCAGACCUCUUGGUGUAGAAGCAUUAAUCAACCUUUAGUCAACCAAUGGGUCAAGGGGGCUUCCACCUUCAGUAUUGUUUUAGUAACAAAAUAAUUGAAGUAAAAAAAAAACUAAUUUUUGUUUUGCGUGUUUUGGAAUUGGAAAAUCAAAAAUUUCAAAAAGAAAGAAAUCAAGAAAGUGAUGAACAUACUAAAACGGAAGCAAAACAUUCGUCAGUAAGAAAAAUAAAUUUGGGCCUACCUCAAAUUCAAUUUGAGUUCCUAUCUCCAAAUUUGGGCUUUCAUUAUUAUGAAACGAAGAAGCCCAAAGUUGGACCUAUUUUAUAAACACUGAAAACAUUCGUACUCAAAAGUGAAAUUUUGAAAUUUUGAGGACUCUUUGUCAAUUUUCAUGGAUUCUUCUUCUCUCUUUGGGCUGAAGAAACAGAAUUUGAAAUGCUAUAUAUAUACUAAACAAGACAAAGUCCAAAGAACUCUUUGUGUUUUUGAACUGGAAAAUCAAAAAUUUCAAGAAGUAAGAAAGAAAUGAAGAGAGUGAUGAAAUUCUUUAAGCGGAAGUCUGAUCCUAAGCAAAAGCUUCGAGAUUGGCAACGAAAGCUACGUCAAGAAGUCCGUAACAUUGAACGCCAAAUUCGAGGUUCUUGUUGCUUUUUUCUUGUAUUGAUCAGAUUCUUAGGAAAGUUUCGAACGUUGAGGAAUUUUAUUAGUUAUAUUUAUGAUUUAGGUUGAUGGGUAUCUUUGAUUUAAAGGGUUUUAGAUUAAAGAUCCAACUUUUGAGAAUUUGUUCUUCAUUGGAGUUUCAAAAUAUCGAUUUUUUCUUGUAUUGAUCAGAUUCUUAGGAAAGUUUCGAACUUUGCGGAAUUUGGUUAGUUAUAUGAUGAUUUAGAUUGAUGGGUAUCUUCCAAUUAAAGGGUUUUGGAUUAAAGAUCCAAUUUUUGAGAAUUUGUUCUUCAUUGGAGUUAUGAUCGAAUGAUGAUGACUAUUAAAGUGUGUUCCUUUCUUACGAAAUUGCUUCAAUUUGAUCAUUUGGGUUUGGGUUUAGGGUUUAGGGUUUGUGGAUUAGGGUUUUUACUUAGUGAGAGUUCAUUUUUCAGAUAUUGAGAGAGAAGAAAGAAAUGUACAUAAAGCUAUCAAAGACUCGGUGAAGCGGUAUGAUAUGGUCACUGCUAAGGUAAAGUAUGAAACUUUCUUAGCAAAUCUGAGCAAUGGUGGAAGAAAUUGGAGUUUUAAAGUGUAAAGGCUCUGUUUCUCUGUUUUGUGUUAAGGCACUUGUUAGGGAAAUAGUGAGAUCGAGAAGAACGGUUAAGCGGUUAUACGAGAAUAAAGCGAAGAUGAAUUCAAUAUCAAUGCAUCUUGGAGAGAGUAUUGGUAAUGAUCAAAAGCUUUACUUGGUGUUUUUCAUUGUUGUUAUAUGAUGUGGUUUUUAGAUUGUUGUUUACAUUUGUUUUCGUGUUGCAGCGAUUUCGGGAACAGUUGGGCUUCUUUCGAAGAGCGGUGAGGUUAUGAAGCUUGUUAAUAGUCUAAUGAAAGCUCCAGAUAUGGCUGUGACAAUGCAGGCAUUUAGCAAAGAGAUGACCAAGGUAGUUAAUUUAUGCAUAAGUGCAACGUUAUCUCUACGAACUAAGCUCUUGUCUACCGCUUAUCUAAUGUGAAGAUUUAUGUAGGCUGGGGUUAUUGAAGAGUUUGUAAGUGAUGCGGUUGAUAAUGCCUUAGAUUCUGAGGAUAUCGAAGAGGAGAUCGAGGAAGAGGUUGAUAUGGUAUGGACUGCCAUAGCAGGAGAGACUGCAGCUGAGCUCCCAGAAGCAGUUAGGAAGGAAAAGAUAAAUGUACUAGCGCAAAAGGCGGGAACUUCACACGGGGUAAGAGCUCUAGCAGUUGAAUGAUUGCAAGUACAUGAAAAAAGAUGGGAUAGUUACAUAUUGGGAGAUCAAAUAUGAAAAGGAGAAGUAUACUGUAUUGCAGGAAGAUGCAAUUGCACAAGGAGUUGAUAAUGAAGACGAACUAGAGGACAUUAGAGCUCGGCUCGCCAAUGUUAGAUUUUGACUGAUAUAUACUGGAUCAUACUUGUGAGUCUUUUCUUAGAACCAUUUUUUAUUCUUGGUCGAUAUCUGAACUGGACUGAAGUGAUGAAAACAGGGAAAGAUCAAAGCUUUUGGUCAGUGAUUGUGCCAUUUGUAUAGAUACUAAAGAAAGUUGAGUUUUAGUUUUAGCUUCAGUGUUUGUUUGGUUUGGUUCUUUGGAAAGUUUUUGGAUUUGGAGUAGGAAACUCAUUCGGUUCUGGUUCGUCUUGAUUUGAUUUAGUCCGGUUCGAUUAAAUUUGGUUAAAAUUUGAUAUAUUUUGUUUAUUGAUUUGGCUAUAUACUAAUUGCAUCAUCAUUUCAAAACCAGAUGAUAUUUUUAGUCAUUCCUCUGGCAUUUCCCUUUGAUAACUGAUAAGUGAUAUGCAGUUCCCUUUGUUACAAAAUCAUAUCCCAUUUUAAGAAAUUAGAGUAGAUACCAUUAGUAGCGAAGUAAAGGUGUUUAAUUGGUUUAUAUUUUAUAAUAUAAAAUACUACGUAUUUGGGUUUAGACGAUUGGUGUGUAAUAAGUUGUACACACAAACACAAUUAAGAUGUCAAGGUCUUAAAUUUUCAGUCUCUAAUAAAUUAUGGACUAAGAAUCACAUGUCAUCGGUGGAGGAGUAUAUUAAGCAUGAAGGAAUGACGAUUUUUUGUCCAAUUUAGAUGGUCAUUCUAUAAUUUUUUUUUUUUUAAACGUUCUUAUUAUCAUUCAUUACAUUUUCUAAAUAUUAAUUCAAUAUCUUUAUUAGUAUCAAAAUAUCCAUUCAGCAAAUUACCUGGGAUCAUAAUAUUUUUCCUAGGUGUAUUCGUGAAUAUAUAAGUGUAUCUAUACAUUAACUCAUUAAGUGUGAUUUUUUAAAUUCAUUCUAUGCAACUAAGUAUAUACAUAAAUACUUGGUUGCAUAGAAUGUAUAUAAGUAAAAUACAGAAUUAUCAUGUAUCUUGGAUUUGUGAAAGACAAAAUUUCUUCGAGGAAAUGUCAUGUUUCUGUUGUGGUCUAAAUUUAAUAUUCUAGUAGGCACAAAUUGUGCAUAAAGCAAAGGUGUUAUAUUGAUGAUAUAAAAAAAAAAUGACGUUACAUAAAAUAUAAAAUUAUUAUAAAAUAUAGAUUACCGAAAUUUGGACCUGUCAGUUUCAUUUUUAUUCUAAAAUUUGACCAAUAAAAAAACUGAAGACGAAGCAUACUGCAGAAUGUAGUUGAUCGUUUUUUUCUUAAAUAUUGCUUCGUUUUAUUUAUAAUCCAAAAUUACCCUAUUUGUCGAUUGUUUGGAAAACCAAUAAAAUAUAAUGGGUAAUUAAUCUACUUUAUAUUUUUUUUUCUUAAAUAAAUGAGUGAAUAAGUGAAAUACAUAAUAUGUGAAUUAUAUAAUACUCCCUCUAUUUCAUUUUAAGUAAUGUUUAAGGUUAGUUUGUAAAAAAAAAAGUAAUGUUUAAGGCUUUUGCAUACAUAUUAAAAAGAUUAUAUAAAUUUCAUUUUUUUUUACUCAUAAACAUUAUUAAUUAAAACUAAUUUAACCAAUAAAAAGCAUACUGCAGAAUAUAAAUGAUAAAAAAAAAAAUCAAAUACAUUUAAAUUUUUGUAUAUAAACUUGAAAAAUAUAUUUAGCAAAAAAAAUACAUAUAACCUUUAAAACAUAGUUUAAAAUUAACCAAAUUUUUUUUCUUAAAUAUCAUUUAAAGUAAAACGGGAUGGAGUUAUAAGAUAUCUAUUAGGAUAGAAUGAAAAACCACGAGUGAAGCAAAAGUUAGGUCGGUCAGCAAGGGAACAUAAGUCGCAUAUAUUAUUAGUUGGGGAUAACUGUUUACAUCAUCUUCUUCACUUUCAGUUUUGUGUUUACAUAAGACAGUUUUAACAACAACCAAAAAAAAUCUGGAAGAAAUAAAUACAAUGGUUACAUAAGACAGUUUUCGCAACACAUUUAUUAAUUCCGUUUAAUAUUUUUGGUGCUCAGUUUUUAAAAAUACUAUACUAUAAUUUGGUUGGAAAAAAAUGAGAAGUUUUAAUCAAUACAAUAAAAACACUAAGAGUCUCUCCAGGCCUGACACCUCAGCUUUUUAAGCUAUUCUCAGGUUGACACCUCAUUAAAAUCAUCGUCCAAUGAAAACAUUUCAGUUAAUACAACUCAACAUUUAUCAGCCAGUAAAAUUUUUUUUUAAAAAAAUUGUUGCAAAAAGUAUAAAUGGCCGAAGCCUAAUUAAAUAGUUUGACAGCCCAUAUUGGUUAGCUGUUUACAUAGAAAAUUAGAAAUCUUAUUGAACCCAUAAUUAAAAGUCCAUUUAGGUAAGUAUCUCAAAUCGUAGAAAAUAAAUCGGUGAAAAAAUUACUGUCGUUCAUUGAAGAGAAAACCAAAGCUGCAUAAUCUUACUCACCAAACCCGAAUUGGAUCGAGAAACCGAUAUCCUGUUUUGAUUGUUGAUCUCAUGAUUCUGGAGAUCGAAUUCGUAAAACUGUGAGAACUCCGAUGAAGUCUAUUUUUCAUUUCCCUCUACUUCACUUUCUUCCUCUUCUCUCCUCAGAAUUCCUAGCCGCUCUCCUUUGUUUAUUGUAUACAGAUCCAACGAUGUUUGAUCCAACAUAGCACCGUAGUCCACCAACGGAGCGUGAUGGUGGAAUCGUGGCUAGAUCGGUUUAAGGACAAAGUGGUGGUGGUGUGAGUGAGUAAGCUAAAGUGAAGAAGAUUGUGUUUGAGAUAAAAUUGGAGUAUUUUUAUGCUUCUGUUGAGUUUAAGAUUAUGAAGGAGUUGAAGAGUUUUACUGAUUUGGGUUUGAAAGAAGCUAAAGCAUUGGUGGAGAAGACUCCUCCGAUUUUGAAAGCUUGAUUGUCUAAAGAAGAAGGUGAGAAGAUCGUUGAGAAGUUGAAAGCAUUUGGUGCUAAAGUUGUUUUUGGAGUAGAAUCAUCAAUUUGUUUUAACGUUUGUGUUACUUUAAAAGCUUCCAUUUUUUUUUUUGUUCCAUCUAUGAGCUCAUGAUACAAGCUAAUUAAGGAGUUUCUUAAAGUCAUAGAUUACACUUGCUCUAUAUUUGGUUUGAGAGAUGAAAAAAGGAUAUGAUGAAUUUAUUCAAUAGAAAUCAUUUUUUUCCUCGCCAUGGCUUUUGAUUUUCUUUGAGCUUUCCACAAAACAUUGUGUUGUAAAAUUCUCUCCUAUUUGCCAAAUCACCCAUCAUCAAUUCCACAAAACUCUUUUAAAAUACCUCUGCAAUUAUCACUUUAAGUUUUUUUAAAAUGGACUUCGAUGGUCUUGUGGUACUUGGUGGAGAUGACUCCAAUACUAAUGCUUGUCUCUUUGCCGAACACUUGGUAUUUUUUUUAAGUUGGUUAAAAUGAAUGAGAUUCACUUAUCUCUGUUUUGUGUUUUGGUGAUUGGUUUCCCAUUUAGUUUUCAAAGCUAACAACAUGAAAACUCGGGUUAGUGGAUGUCCCAAGACAAUCGAUGACGUUUACUGUGAUUUGAUAUUAUAAAACUGGACUUGAGAUUAGUUCUUGAACCAAGAUCCACCAAUUACUUAUAUAAAUGCAACUAAAGAAAUUGUAUUCAAAGAUAUAAAAACUCAACUUUCGUUUAAAUCAUUAUUGAUGAGGAUUAAUCUUAUACAAUGGUUUUAUGAAUAAAAGUUAUAAAAAUCAUAUUGAUAUGUAAAUUCAAUUAAUAUUCGAUGCUUAAGGUAGAUAUCAAUUAACAAACUUACAUUCAAAAUAAUACCCGCAGCGAAGCGCGGGUUUCGUCCUAGUACCUCUAAAACCAAAAAGGUUUUUAUGCCUUGCACACAACAAAUUAUGAGAUUGAGAAUCUGAGAGGCCGACGUAGGUCUUUCUGAUUUAUAUUCUUGAAAAGGAAAACAAAGGAUUUAUUUACACUAAAUGUGGGUCAUCAUUCAUCAACAUUAUGUAUAUUGGAUUAAUAACUACAAGAUUCUUAUCUGCUAUGGAGACUAAAACAGAAAAAAGUAUUGAUAAAAAUAAGCAAAAAUAUAUGAAAGGGAAUUAAAAAAAAAGUAUUUAUAAAUAACUAGAAUGGGAUGAAAAUCCAGAAGAGGAAAAAUGUUUACAAAAAGAUUUUAUGCGGAUACAUUUUAGCAUUGCGUGCUAAAUUAUCUGUCUUUGUGAGUCACAUAAUAUGAUCUACUCUGGCAAUAUUUUGGUACCCAAUGUAAGAUAAUGUCACACAGUUAAAGCGUGACAUACUGAUACUUCGCUACAUCACAAGUUUUGUUUAUUCAUCUAUUUUUUUAAGGUAGAGAAAAACUUGAGUGUGAGGAAGAUUCCUAGGAUGAGAUGAGAAAUGUUGAAGGUGUAGUUGUGUAAGUUGAUGUAAUACAAGUAUCGGAUCUUCAAACAUUAAACUACAUAAUCAUCAACUUGCGCAAAAGAUAACUUUAUUAUAAUGACAAUUAUAACAAAGAAAGGAAAUAGAUUUUACAAAGAGGUUGACAAUAACAUUUUGGUGAUAAAACCAUGUUGUGUAUACUGUGGUACAUAUGUUUGAUUAUUUUUGUUAACUGAUGUUUUGACUAAGUUAUAUUUCCAUUAUGGUUUUUAAAGUUAGAUCAUUGAUCCGUAAUAGGAUGUCAUUUUGUUGCUGAUACUUUUGAUCAUUCAUAUGGAUGUAGAAUUUAUUUAUUCUUCUCCAUAGUUUAGACAUAUGAAGUCAACUAUAAUGUAUAUGUUCAAGCUAAAACUUUUUUGAUUUAAGAGCGUUGAACCAUAUAAAAUUCUAUUUUAAAUGCUCUAUUUUUUAAGCUUUUUUUUAUUUAAGAGCGGUGAAAUAUACUGAAAUCAAUAAUAAUGCCAAUACAUUCUCUAUCAUUUAGAAUUAUUUAAAAUUUCUAUUUUAAAUGCUCUAUUUUAAAUGCGAUUGGUUUGACUAUUUUUGUUUGGAUUUCAUGUGUCUAAUGUGUAGCAGAAGUUGGUCACUAGAGUUUAUCGUUUAUACUAUGAGUCUCUACUUUGUCGCUAUUUCAAAAAGAUUAACAAAGCGUAAUCCGAGAAAUCCCACUAAUCUUCUCGGAUGAGUAUACUUGUCGUCAAAUAGUACAUUCACUGAAUUUUUAACAAGCAUAAAGAGGUCAUUGUACAAUUGGGAAAAAUGUAUUGACACAUCAAGUUUUUGCAUCUCCAAAUUUUGCAAAACAAGUAUAGCAAGAGAAUAAUGAUGGAAUCCUAUAUAUAAUAUGGCCAAUAUUUGCAAAUUUUUGUACUAUGGAAAGGAGGGAACUUAUUUUUAAAUUUUAAUAUAGAAUUACAUUUAAUGGCUGUCAAAAAAAAAAGAAUUACAUUUAAUGAAAGAAUAAUAAAAAAAAAACAGUCGAACUGCCACAUGUGAAGAUUCUGGUUAAUAUUUUUGUAAUUAUAAUACACACACAUACAAAAUCAACAACAACAUUAUUCAGGCAUUAACAACAUUAAUUUCCAUCGUUAAUCGCAUUUUGGUUGGUGAAACACAUACGCCAUUAUAGUGCAUUGAUUUGUCCAUGUCUAAAGGAUUCUUCAAUCCAAACACAAUUUUAUACGCAAAGAUUUGAAUUAAAGCAAGGAUUUGGACAGAAUGUACGCAAAAGCAAACGAGAUAAUAGCUAGCGUUCACACAAUUUACACACUGUCUUUGUCUCUGUCUUUUUCUAACCGAAUUAAUUGCAAUUGCGAAAAUUUAUGUACAUAUGAUAAAGAAAAUUAAAGAUCCUAAUAUUUCGGUAGGUACGUGUAUCCAUCUUAAUUUAAUUUUGGUGUCUGAGUUUUUUUAAAACAAGAGCAAUCAUAUUCACUUUUCCUCGAAAGAACAAGUGGGGUUUAUCACAGUAUGAAACUAUAAAAAGAAAACAAAAGGAAGUCUUAUGAGUGGCUACAAAUUAAAAUAAAGGUGAAUUAAGUAGGUAUGUAACGGAAUUGACAGAAUGUUUUGGAGAAAAGUCAUUGUGAAUUUUCGUAAAUAAAUGGUUGUGUUUCAUCUUGAGUAAUUUUUAAAAAUAUAAUAAGUCAUAGAAAUCUAUGAUAUUCAUUAACAUAAAAAACAAAAACUAUGAUAUUUUAAAAAAAUUACACAUGAAAGAACGAAUCACACAUAAUAAAAAAAGAACGAAUCACAAUAUUUAUUAAAAUUCUAUUCGCUAUGUUUUCAUAUAAUAAUCGUAUUAGUCUUAUAUAUUACAUUUUCACAAAAUAGUUAUCUAGUCUAAGUUUUAAAAAAUUUGAAUUAUAAUUUCUAAUGGUUGCGACGGAUAUAAGGAAUAAAAUUAUUUACGGAUGAUACCGUUUUUGUUUUAUCAUUAUUAAAUUAUACUUUAUAAUAGAGGAGACACAAUAUAAAACAAAUCCAUUACGAACCAUUUAAAAAGGUUAAUAUACAAUAGAUAAUUUUCGCCUAAAAAAAUGGUUUAGACAUUAGUUUGUUAACGGUUUAAUCCGCUCCGCUCACAACAUUUAUUCAACCUAAAUGUUGUAUAAGAGUUAAAAAAAUGUGAAGAUGAUUUUCAUUGAUUCUAGCAACCGUCACCUUUUUCGAGGUGGCAAACAAAAUAGUAAAAAUUGACAAUUUUCGUAAGUAAAAUAAAAUACUUUUAGUUUAAGAAACUAAAUAACUUUUUAAUAUUUGAUCCACGAUUUGUUUAGUAGACGAACAAGCCAACUAUAUAAAUAACAUCAUCGUUUCUUCAAUCCUAUAACCCAACAGUUCUCUCAAAGAAAACCAAAAAAAUGGACUCCAAAACAACUUUUCUCACAUUUGUUCUCUGUAUUUCCAUUUUCUCUCAUUUUUCACCCUCAAGUUCCAAAUCUCUCACAGAAAAGCCUUUAUCUUUCUCACCGUCGGCGAGUUUGCCGACUCUCACGGCGGAGAGACUAAUCAAAGGAUUCAAUUUGAUGCCUACACGUGACGUCAAUGUCAUCGAUGAAGACGGUUCUGAGGCUCCGAGGCUAGUCGAGAGAGAAUUCGAGUUGCCGGCCGAGGUUGACCGUCGUGGCUCCGGUGGUUCUCCGUCGGUUCAAGAUUUUGGUCACCAUGCUGGUUACUACAAACUCCCUAAUUCAAAAGCAGCCAGGUAACUUCCAUUUUAUUGUACCAAAACUAAACCGGUUCAACCAAUACGGUUUAAUUUAUCCGGUUCAUAAUUUCUCACAAUUAUAUAAACCAAUCCGGUUUAGAUUAAGAUUUUUUUUCUUAACCGUUCUAUUUGGUUGGUACCGAUGCGGUUCACAUUGGGAUUUUAAUUCUCAAUGUCUUCUCAAAAAGAAAACCGAUCCGGUUUAGUGUUUACUCUUUUUUAACCGUUCUACAGUUUUAAUAAUACUUGGAACCGUCUCGGUUUACUUUUGUAUAAUGACUAAACCGGGUUUUUCUAUUGCUCAAUUUCUUUCACAGGAUGUUCUACUUUUUCUUCGAGUCAAGGACUAACAAAGCCGAUCCAGUGGUGAUUUGGCUAACCGGUGGACCUGGUUGCAGCAGUGAACUGGCUCUGUUCUACGAGAACGGACCGUUCACCGUCUCCAACAACUCAUCUCUUUCUUGGAACGAAUUUGGUUGGGACAAGGUUGGUUAGAAAAAAAACUGGUCAACGAAAACACGUUUUCUCAAAUCUCAACAAGAAACCAAAUUAAUCUCAACUACUUUAUUUUAAUUUAAUGUUAUAGGCAUCGAAUCUAAUCUACGUGGACCAACCAGUUGGAACCGGUUUCAGUUACACAUCGGACCAAAGUGAUCUUCGACACGACGAGGAUGGUGUUAGUAAUGACCUUUACGACUUCUUACAGGUUCAGUUUCAAGUUACUUUCCUCUGUUUCAUUCAUCACACAAAGAUCAUGUUUCUUGAAGAAUCUUGACGUGACACAUUUUUUUGUGCAGGCUUUUUUCAAAGAGCAUCCACAAUUUGUGAAGAAUGACUUUUACAUCACCGGUGAAUCCUAUGCCGGACAUUACAUUCCGGCAUUGGCUUCACGGGUUCACCGUGGUAACAAGAACAAAGAAGGAACUCACAUUAACCUUAAGGUAAAAAAAAAAAAAAAAUCUACAUUGAUUCUUUUUGUUCACACUUUUGUGUUUGGCUAAAGCAAAACCUGUUUUAUAUAUAUCAGGGUUUUGCAAUCGGUAACGGUUUGACCAACCCGGAGAUUCAAUAUGGUGCUUAUGCGGAUUACGCGCUAGACAUGAAGUUGAUAACACAGUCUGAUCACGAUAACCUUAACCGUAACUACGCAACUUGUCAACAAUCCAUCAAAGAAUGCAGUAAGAAACAAUCUCUCAACCUCUUUUCUUUCAAGAAUGAUAGUAAGAAGUUUGUGAAUUUUUAUGAAUUAUGUUUGCUUCUUUUAUGCGGGUUCAGGCGCGGAUGGUGGUGAAGGUGAUGCUUGUGCUUCUUCUUACGUUGUUUGCAACAACAUUUUCCAAAAGAUUAUGGAUAUUGCAGGAAACGUAAACGUAAGCAUCAAAACUGGAAUUGAAUGGAUCCCUUUAUUACUUGUUUGUUCUUGAAAUAAUAGCUAACAAGAUUUUUCCUCUGUUUUGGUUUCUAUUGUUUGAAGUAUUACGACGUGAGGAAACAAUGUGAAGGAAGCUUGUGCUAUGAUUUCUCGAACAUGGAGAAGUUCUUGAACCAGAAAUCGGUACGGAAGGCAUUAGGUGUGGGAGAUAUCGAGUUUGUGUCUUGUAGUACAGCGGUUUACGACGCAAUGCAGAUGGACUGGAUGCGGAAUCUUGAGGUCGGGAUUCCAGCUCUUCUUCAAGAUGGAAUUAAGCUCCUUGUUUACGCCGGGGAAUACGAUCUCAUCUGCAAUUGGCUCGGUACGUUUCCUUGCUAUGUCCAUGUGUUUGCUGACUACUAGUUACAUCUCCACAAAACCGGUUAAGAUGAGAUUGAUUGAAUAUAUUUCUCUUGGUAUAUAGGAAAUUCGAAGUGGGUUCACGAGAUGGAAUGGUCAGGCCAGAAACAGUUUGUAGCAGCCGCGACAGUUCCCUUCCUCGUAGACAACAAAGAAGCCGGUUUGAUGAAGAACUACGGUUCACUUACUUUCCUCAAGGUAAACUAAACAAAAAAAACGAUAAGCCGAACAUAUUUCUAUCGAUUUUAACACCUAAUUUAAGUGAAAUUGGAAAACGUUUUAUAGGUCCAUGAUGCUGGACACAUGGUUCCAAUGGAUCAGCCAAAGGCAGCAUUGCAAAUGCUUCAAAACUGGAUGCAAGGAAAGCUCAGUACACCCACUGGUCGGACCGCUCAUCAGUAAAUCCAAAUUCAGAACCGACUGAAUUAUUAUGUAUUUAGGAGAUCAAUACUUUACUUUUAAGAAAGCUAAAUAACAUAUACUUGUGAAUUAUUUCUAUAAAUACACAGGAAACUUCAUUGUUAAUCUCUAACCAUCAUUUGAAUUUUGAAUGUUUUCAAACAACAAAUUUGAAAUAUUUGGUUAUGAACUUAUGAUUUAAUCUAUAAUCUAAAACCUAAGAAAUACUUCAUUCAUUGAACACUCUUUUAUAACCUUUAUAUGUCACAAAGAUUUGACUAUUCCAAGUAAUACAAACCUAUCUCUAAGAUUCCACAACAACUAGAGAAGAUGACACAUAAAAACAAAGCUUGCAAAUUCACCGAUGACCCUCAUAAGAACGAUCACGAUACUCAUCAUCAUCAUCAUCAUCGUCAAAAAUGAGAGUAACACCAUUGUUUCUAAGAGAAUUAAUAACAGCCCAUACCUUGGUUCGACUCUUAAACCCUUUCUUUUCGAUUUCUUUCUUGAUAUCAGCAUGAAUACCUCUUCCUUGCCCAUCUUGAAGCCCUUCCACUUUCAGUCUCAUCGCUAAAACCUCUCCUACAAUAGCCGCUGCCUUAGCAUUGCAAGUACGACCACACUCCAGUGAGUUCUUGAUCGCGUGCUCUACAGUUGAAGCCGUAGUCACUAUUCUCCCGUUGUUUCUGUCCACUACGUUUGCUGUUAUGUACUUGAUCGACAUGAACAACCUCAAUACAUACCUUUUCAAAACUGUCAUUUGCUUCUACAAAAUACACACAACAUAAAUGCAUCAAAGGCUCCUUAAAAGCUUGUCUACUAGAUAAUGUUCUCAGAGGAAUUUCGUCAAACACCUUACAGGCAAAAACAUUAUUCUUUGUAAACUUCAAUUCAAGAGGCUUACUCUACUACCCAUUUUAUAAAGCUGCUAAAUUUUCAAAAUCAAAUCGAAAAUGAGAAUAAAUAAUUCACAGCGUAGAAACGAGGAAAUCAAACAAUCCACGGCACAAAAACAAAAAUCUCUGCCUAGAUAACACGAAGUCGUGGAAGAGAAACCAACGAAAAUAAAAUUGAAAUUUGUUCGAACUUACGUGUAAAGGGAUGUCUAACUUGAGCCUAAUCAAGAAGAAUCGUUGCGACGAGAAAAUUUCCAGAGCGCCAAGAUGAACAACGACGAAGCAGGAAUAAAACGAGUCGGGUCGGGUCGGGUCGGGUUCUAUACCGAUAACCAAGUCGGUCCAAUCAUAAUGGGCUUUUUACUUUGGGCUAAAAAUGUUUUGUACCAAACCAAACCGGUACACUAGCGUUAUUUAUCAAAUACUCCGAUCUAGAACCUCUUAACAAAAAAAAAAGUCAAAGAUCAGCAAGCUACAUUGGGACAUGAAAAUUUAUAUAGAAAUCAAAAGUUGAUUAAUAAUGCGUGAAAACAUAAAACGACCCAUGUGGAGAGCACUAAUUUCAAUGAUUUUUGUUUUCAAGAAAUUUGAAAAAACUGAUAUUCCCUCCGUUUCAUAAAGAGUGUCGUUUUAAGGUUUUAUUUUGUUUCAUAAAAAGUGUCGUUUUAGGUUUUUAAUAUAAAAUUUAAUGAUUUUUUAUGUUUUAUGACUAUUAGUAUUUUGCAGAUUGUUUUACUAUUAGGCAGAUUAUGUUUAGAUAUAUAGUUGAUGAUGUUUUUGUUUAGAAAAAACAAAAAAUUUAAUGUUUUUUUAAUCUGUGUGCAAAACUCUAAAAUGACACUCUUUGUGAAACAGAGGGAGUAGUUGCAUAGGCUAAUAAUUUUUUCUUAUUUAGUGUAGAAAAUAGGAUGCUACUAAUCAUCUUAAUGGUUGACUUUUGAAUUCUGACAACCUGUAAGCUUAAGAGAUUGAGCUUAUUGGUUGGAUAGUGAUUUUCUUUCUGUAUUAAUUUUCUUUCGGACAACCUAUAAGCUUAAAUGAUUGAGCCGAUUGGUUGGCUAGUCAUUUUCUAUCUGGAUUAGUUAUUUAAAUAUCACAAGUACCAUUCACAAACAUAGAGGAGAGCACUAAGUUAAUUACUCAAAAUCUCUCCCAUCUUUCCUUACCAAAAAAAAAAAUUUCUGCCAUCUUUCGUUUCUUAAGGUAUUCUAUUUCGAUAAUUCUAUGGAUCCAGAGCCGCAGUUGAAGCUCUUGUCACUCGUUACUCAACUAAUGUCUUACAUCGACCCUGAUAAAUUGGAAACGGGUUAUGUGUCGGAGGUCAAAUUACUCAUUAGGCAAAUAAUCUCUCUGGUCAACGCAAUGGAUUUGGAUUUGCAGCCAAAGCCGGAGUCGAAGCUCAUGUCACUCAUUACUCAAGCCAUCUCACUCUUCAGCUCUAUGGAUUUGAAUUCUCAGCCGGAGCCAAUAAGGGAGUUCAUAUCAUUCAUUUCUCAAAAAGUCAACUCUAUAGAUUCUGAUUGGGAGAAGAUGUUCCUAUCACUCUUUAUGCUGAUAAUGGUAUUUAAGAUAGAGGAGUCGGAGCUCAUAUCACUCCUCUAUGAGAUAUGCUACCUUGCCACUUCUAUGGAUCCACAGUGGGAGAAGUUCAUUCCCUUUAGCUUUCAAGCAUAUGUAAGAUUGAAAGAAGGAAAAUUUCAUGUGAUUGAAGACGUCCAGAGAAACAGCAAAAAGGAUUGGAAUUGUCUCCCUGUAAGAAGGAAAACUAUCAGUUUUACAGGAGGAGACGCUACACAUUUUCGAUGCGCAGGUUGCAAUGGCGAGAACCAUGAAGAAUAUAACAAGACUCCGGUUGAGAUCAAACACCAUCUUCAUCCAAAACAUUCUCUUCAGCUUGUCAAGUUGAAGGGUGGCGAGACCAGGAAAUGUUAUUGUUGUGAUGAAGAUAUCAUAAUGAUAUUUUUUUAUUGCUCGACUUGCGAUUUUGCUAUGAACAUGAUUUGUUUUGCGAAACCACCAGCCUUGUCUAUGGACCUUCCUAAGUGGCAUGAGCAUACACUUGCUCUGUUUCCAAGUCAGGCUUCCUUACCUUGCAACCUAUGUGCCUUGACACACUCAAGCUGUCCUUUCUAUAUAUGUCCCCCUUGUGACUUUGUGGUCCAUCAAAGGUGUAUCAGCUUACCACGUGUCAUAAGGAUAUCUCGCCAUCCCCAUCGUGUCUCGUUUACGGCUUCAUUUGAACAAGGAGAUUGGCGUUGUGGUGUUUGUCGUAGAAAGAUCGACAAUGAUUAUGGAGGCUAUUCUUGCAGCAAGGACGGUUGUUCGUAUGCGGCUCAUUCAAGAUGUGCCACACAAAGAAAUGUGUGGGAUGGUAUAGAGCUUGAGGGAGUGCCGGAAGAAAUUGAAGAAGUUGAGCCGCCCUUUGUGAGGAUAAGCGAUGGUAUCAUACGACAUUUCAGUCAUCUGCAUCAUCAUUUGAGACUUGAUGAGAACACAUGCAGAGAUUACGACGAGAAUAAUCAAUGUCAAGCAUGCGUCAUGCCAAUCUAUUUCUGUAAAUUCUACUCAUGUAUGCAAUGCGAGUUUAUUCUUCAUGAAACAUGUGUAAAUCUUUCUCGCAAAAUACAUCACCCGAUACAUCCACAUCUACUUACUCUAGUGGGAGGAGGAUAUGAUGGUUUGAUAGACUACGAUUAUGAUAAAUGUUCAGCUUGUCAAUCGAUGUACAGAGCUGGUUUCUUCUAUGAGUGCGAUAAAGAAGGAUGUUCUUUCCAGCUACACGUGCAGUGCACCACAAUUUCUGAGCCAUUGGUCCAUGAAAGUCAUAUGCAUCCUUUAUUCCUAACAUCUAAACCAGGAGAGGAAAGAAUUUGUUCUGUUUGCAAAAAUAAAGGAAGAAGUUCCACAAAGGAAACAUUCAAUUGCAUUGAGGAGUGUGACUUUUCUUUGUGUUUUGGAUGUGCUACUUUACCUCAAAAGGUGAGGUAUAAGCAUGAUAAGCAUACACUCACUCUUUCAUAUGGGGAGGAGACAAGUACUAUGAUGUAUUGGUGUGAAAUUUGCGAACGAGAGAUAAAUCCAAAGAAGCGGUUUUAUAUGUGCGACGAGUAUUGUUGUGUCACCCUACACAUUGAUUGUAUGCUUGGGAUGGACUUAUACAUGAAAUCCGGUUUAUCACUGAGUAUUUUCCGGGGUUUCUCUCAGGCAUAUGUUCAACCCAACAAUCAUCAUAUGUCUCGACCUAUUUGCUACUCUUGUGGGAAGCGUUGUCCACAGAAAAUAGUUAUCCAGUCCUCCGGAUUCAUUGUGUGUUCCGUAAUAUGUUACCGUGAGAUGGUGUUACACUUGUGCGGACUCACCAAAUAAGCAACUGUCCAUUCUAUAUGUAAGGAAUGCUUUAUGUACUGUUUCAAGUAUUGCGUCUCCUUCAUAUUAUGUUAUUACAUGUUCUGUCAUAUACAUAGCAUGUGUGUUUAAUCUAAACCUUGUUACAGCUUUAUAGAGACAUCCAUAAUCAUUGCAAAAUUUCAGAAAACCCUCUCUUGGAAUAGUCAAAUCUUUGUGAUAUAAUCAUAUCUAAAUAGUUCAGAUAUAAUCUCAGACUCUCACUUUUGCAGCUAAAUAUGGAAGACAUUAUGGGAAUUCUGAAGGAUAUACAAAAAUUUAUUUUUCUUAACAGAUAUGGCAAUUAACAAGAGGAAGUGUGGUUAGUAGUAAGAUACUUUGUUAUGUACAUUAAGUGGAAAAACGAAGAAUGACUCUAGGCUUAACUUACUACAAACAGAGGAGUGAGUAGUAGACAAGAGGUAUAAAGGCAUUGUCUAACUGUGCGGUGUAAGCUUCCAACAUCCCGGUGGCUGUCACAGCAACCAGAAGCGACCACCACCCUUGACUUAGUAUAUAACCCAUUGAUGCUAAUACUGGGACCAGUACAAAGCACACUGCCAUCACCGAUGUUAUUCCCGCUGCUGUUCCUUCAACCGUUUCUCCGUUCCGCAAACAUUAUUUUACGCACUUGACAAUAUUAGUUUCCGAUAAAAGCAAUAGUUGAGAUUAUUUAAAAGGAAAAGAAAAGACUUACUUCCUGUCUUGCUCCAUCUCAAUACCCCAUACUUGUGCCCAACCAUCGAUGCCUGAAGAGAAAAUCGUUAUAACAUAACAUUGGGAGAGACUGCGGUUUUCUAAGUUAGUAUCUCCGGACAAUGUAAGUAGAAGCUAAAAGUUUACCAUUGUAUCUCCAAUCCCGAGGCUGAGAAUUCCGGCAAAUGGGGAUAAAGCUCGGUCAUUGAACCCAGAUGACAUCCAAAUUGGAAGCGCACACCCAAGCAAGAGUGAGAAGUGGCUAUAAAACAAGACAUAAUAAUCAAUACUCCCUCUGUUUUUUUAAAGUUGUCGUUUUAACUGUAUUUAGACAAAUUAAGAAAAGGUAUACAAUGACUAUAUUAACCUCAUAAAAAUGACAAGUAAUUAUUUACAAAUAAUUUGUGUUCAAUAAAAUAAGGGUAAUUUGGGUAGUUAUUGGCAUAAAUUACAUUAUUACCUUAAAACGAAAACUAAUUUAAAACAAAAAAAAUCUCUAAAACGACAACUAUUCGAAAACGGAGGGAGUAAUUAUACAAACCAAACAAAAAAUGUGAUAAUUCUACACUGAGUUUUCCCAUCCAUGGUCUAAACAGUUUUGGCAUACCUGACAAUCAGAUGCUCUGAGUCACGAUGGUCCAUGAAAGCAUUCAUGAAUUGAUGUAAAGGCUCUCCUAGCGGCUGAAUUCUCCAGAUCUGUGAGUAUCUUGCAUUAAGCCCAUUGAACGCAAUGAAACCUAGAAGGUGAGUUCUUUCAAAAGAAGGGAGCUUACUCGAAUGAUCUCCAAUGCAACAAAUACCGCCAAUGCAGCACCAAAUGCUAGAUCGAGAAAUUUAGGCUGAAUGGAAGGACAUGAAAAUAAUAAGAAUCGACUAGAGGACUGGAGAAGGCUAACACAUACGGAUUUCCAAAUAGUAAAAUUAUAAAUUAUUGAUCUGUAAGACAAGAGUAGAACAGCCAUCAGAUGGUUGUACUUCCGAAGCAAGAUUCUCUCAACCUUUCUAUUCCUCGAGAUGUUAUAAAAUCGUGAGACAGACACAACGAUCAACAGAACCCAGUAGAUACAUAAUGAAAGUCUCUUCAGAGGUUCAGAAAAGACAAAUGUGAGCACCCUGCAAUAGAAAGAGUAUUAAAGUUGGAUACAAUCUUAGCAUGUGGAAGUUAGUGUACAAAGGAUCGCUACCGACGCUGAGAGGACACAGGAUAGAUAAUUGAUAGUAGAGAUUACGUACCAUAUGAAGGAAUGCUGGUCGAAUUCGUGUACAAACUGCAUCCAAGAAGGAACAGCCACGAUCAUAAAUAAUAGAAGUGAAACAAAGAAUAAGACAGAUUUUGCAGUAUCACUGCAGUUUCUUUGUCGAGCAUCUCUCUUUCUCAAAGAGCUUUCAUAUAUAUGCACAACGAAUCUAAACACCAUUGGGAAAAGUAGAAGCCCCAAAAGUAGACCCUAAGAAGGAGGAGACAGGUAAGUUGUUAUGCAGCAAUACGGUCAAGUUACUAUGCAUUUAAUAUCUCUUUUAUUAUAAUCAUACCUGGACGAUUAUGCCGGUUUCAGUCCUCCUUAUUCCAUAGCUUAUUGAGACAAGAUCCACAGGUAUCAAUUUCUCGAAAAUCUGUAAAAUUUGUCAUACCAAAGUUACAGAGACGAAAUCACUGAGUCAUUCUUGAAUGCAUGCAGUAACCAAUGAAGGCACAAAAACGCAUGACGUGUUCAAAGAUUGGAAAAAAUAAAGAAUUCUAACCUUUGCAAUUGUGAAUUGUGCAUGCCAAAAAGUCGCCAAAAUAGAGAACAAGACCACUGGUCAGAAGAAGUGCUUCCCCUAUAAAAGUGGCAUUAGUUGGAAGGUGAAACAGAAAUAUGUGGAAUCAAAAGAGGAAAGUUUCAAUUGAAUCCAUAGUUCCAUAGAGACAAAACCAUUUCAUGACUGACGGCUAAAAACUCUUGUGAGGGAUAUGCUGAAAGUUGUAGUAGCAGUCGCCGGAGCUGAAACGAGAGAGAAGAAACGGAGAAGUCUCGACGCAGAUCUCGACGAGGAAGGCGGAGAGAGAGAGGAUGAAGAGGGAGUAGCCAUGGGAUACUCAGGCAAGACAUGUCCAUGGUUAAACCUAGAUGAUACUACUAUGAUACUAUUAGGUUGUAGUUACUAAACUUUUCUCUAACGUACGUUACUAAAUACAGCAUAAGAUUUUUUAAGAUUGAGUACCUACCUAUAUGAAUUCGUAUGAACAUCUGAACAUGUAUGAAUUCGUGUUUUGUUCUUGUAUGAAACCUGGUUAUAUAUAUUCAUUUUUAAAAAUUAAAUUUAGUUCUUAAUAAAAAUUAAUUGGUAAUAGAAACAAUUAAAUUUCGAAAAAGUAAUUAAUUGGUAUCCUAAUUUUCGAAAGGGAAAAUUAGAUUGGGUACCACAUUUGGCCCAAAAUUUAGGUCUAGUACCACUUUCGAAGCCCAUUUAUCACUCAUACCACAAUUGAGGUAUGUAAUGACCAUUUUGCCCUUCUUUUUGUUUGUUCAAAUUUCAGGGACAAAAUUCAUAGUUUGAGCACACAAAAAGAAGUUUACAUAUAUUUGUCCCCGAAGUUUGAGUUUCUCCAUAAUUUCAUCUUAUUUUUGCAUGUUUGCUAGUUUUUGUCCCUCAAUUUUAAUUCAUUGUUCUUGGAUUUUAGUAUGUAAACUCUAAUUGCGGUAUUUUUAUUUUGUUUGAUGUUUAUAUUUCGUUUGAUUAUUGUCCCCGAAUAGGUUUUUUGUCCCCAGAUACUUGUCCCUAAAUGUUACACUUUAUCUGCCACAUCAGCCGAGGGCAAAACCGUCUUUUUCAUACCACAAUACAACAUGAAUGUGGUACAACUUGUACCGUACAACUUGUACCGUACACCGCAAAAAUAUUAAAUAUUUUUUAAACUAAUAUUCUACUUAAAUUCAAUUUUUGAUUUAAAUAUUUAAAACAAAACGUAAAACCACGUCUUCUAUAACAUGGUUAUGCGAUUUUUGCGGGAAAACGCAGAUCUACGGUUUUGGCGGGAAAACGAGGAUUUACGGUUUUGGCGGGAAAAUGUGAGUUUACGGUUUUAGCGGGAAAACGCGGAUUUACGGUUUUGGCGGGAAAAUAUGAGUUUACGGUUUUGGCGAAAAAACGCGGAUUUACGGUUUUGGUGGGAAAAUGCGGAUUUACGGUUUUGGCGGGAAACGCGAGUUUACGGUUUUGGCGGAAAAACGCAUGUUUACGGUUUUGGCGGGAAAACGCGAUUUUGCGAUUUUGGCAGAAAAUGACGUUUUCCCGCCAACACCGUUAACCCGCAUUUUCCCGCCAUAAUCGUAAAAUUGCGUUUUAUCAACAAAAAUAUCAUACUAUAAAAUGAUGUUUUCCCGCAAAACCGUAAACCCGAAUUUUCCCGCCAUAAUCGUAAAAUUGCAUUUUUUGAAACUAUAUUAUUCUUCAACAAAAUAAUAAAAACAGUUAUAUCAUUAUUUAUCAAUUAUUUAAUAAAAUAAUCUGUAAAUUUUAAAUAAUCAAUUAAAAUAAUUAUUGAUUAUAUUAUAUUGUUUAGAACAAAACAAUGUUAGAUGAGUUGAAUUGACAUAUAAAGUGAAUUGGAUUUUGAAGUCCAAUGCUUAAACGUGGGGUGUCCAUUGAACUUGAAAGUCAUUGGUAAUGGAAUUUUGAAGUCAUUGGUAAUGGAUUUUGAAUUCCAAUGCAUAUAAUUUAUGUCAAGAAUUACAAAAUUAUACAUUUUAAAACUUUAUUCCAAUAACAAAAUAAUAAAUAUUUCAGGAACGGCUGUAAAAAAUAUAUAUAUAUAUAUAUAUAAUAACUAGGUUGAAGAACCCAAGGUUGGGUGGGCUGGAGUCUGGAGAGCGCCGCCGUGGAAGAUGAAGAACCCAAGGUUGUUGAUGUUUUGUAAAAAAUAACUUAAAAGUAUGUGUAUUGCAAAAUAACUGAGAGAAUUGCAAAAGAAAACACUAGGUAAUAGGUUAUAAUUUUUUAUUCGUGGAUACCAAUUUUCGGAGAGAGAGAGGGAGAGAGGGAGAGAGAUGAAAUACUUGAUAAAAUGCUAGGAUUGUUUUUGUUCAUGUUUUAUGAGUAAAAGUACAUUUAAAUCCAAAAUGAAACAAAUCAAAUGAAUAUUCAAUAACAGUUGUUUUUGAUUCAUUUUAGAAUACAUCAAACAAAUACUAAUCUAAUAACAGCAGAUUUUUAACGUAAUUUUGCAAAUACUAAUCCAAUAACAGCAGAUUUCAAAAUCCAUUAAAAACCCCCAUCCAAUAACACCCCCUAAAUGGGUUUAAAUGGGUAAAGAAAAUUUAAAUGGGUUUAAAUGGGGAGGUUAAAUGGGGUGUAAACUUAAAUAGGCUUAAAUGGGUGGGUUUUAAAUGGGGUUAGUUUUAAAUGGGGUGGGUCUAAAUGGGGUGGGUUAACCCAUAUUAACAUCUCUAGGUACAAGUGGUAAACCAUUCUCUAUUGUGGUAGAGAUGUUAAAGAAUUUAAAAAAUGUAGUACAUUUGGUAAAAAUCUUUUUCUGUUAUAAACUGUGUAAUCUUAUUAACACAUAAGAGAGUAUAUAUAUGAGUUUACACGGAAACACAUAGAAGGAGAUAAAAUCUAAUGGGCCUUGGGUCGGUUAUGGAGUCCAUCCAUAUGAUUUAUAACACUCCCCCUUGGAUGACAUAACCGUGUAGAUGUUCAGAGAUCUUCGUAAUAUGCUUGGGAAUGCUGCCUCAUUAAAACCUUACCAGGAAAACCCAGUGGGACAAAACCAUGGUGAAGAAAAAAUAGUACAACACACAUUACUCCCCCUGAUUUGUACAUCACUGAAGCUCCUUAAGUCUUCGCAUCCCAAUCUGAUAUAUGAGUUUCUUAAGUGUUGAUGUUGGCAAAGACUUGGUGAAUAGAUCGGCUGAGUUGUUGCUGGACCGGACUUGUUGAACUUGUACUUCACCGGCUUUCUGUAACUCGUGUGUGAAGAAGAGCUUUGGCAAAAUGUGCUUCGUCCGGUCUCUCUUAGUGUAGCCGUCCUUGAGUUGAGCAAUACAGGCUGCGUUGUCUUCAAAUAUGAUGGUCUUUGAUGUAGUAGUAGAUGCGCCUUAAAGAAGGCUGCCUACGUACCCUUGGAAGGGAUCAAGCCACACAUAGUUCCUAUUCAUUGACCAUGCCAUAAUCUGAUCUUAUGAAUAACCUGCAUCAGCAAAUCAAACUAAACCAAAGCAAACUGGACCUUCUUUGCUUAGAUCAGUAUAGAAUAAAACCCAAGUAAACAACGCAGGAAUAAUAGACUUUAAAACUUAACCAAACCUUCCUUUAAACCUUUCCAGUGCCUUUGGGUUGAUCAUGAACUAAAUUUAGACAGGAGACUCACGGCAAAACAAAUGUUUGGUCUAGUGUGUCUAGCCAAAUUCAUUAGAACUCCUAUGGCACUGAGGUAUGGCAUUUCCGGACUGAAUGGAUCACUAUCCAAUCUGAGGCUUCUCACCACCAUUGGGCCUGGUCAAUGGGUGGGCCUGGUCCUUAUUAAAUCUCCUUGAGUACUCUUUCAGUGUAUGCCAUUUGAUGCACAAGGAUUCCAUUAUUCACGUACUCAGGUUGUAAUCCCAAACAGAACUUAAUUAUUGCCUAGGUCUUUCAUUUCAGAUUCUUUCUUUAGAUAUACUCAACUGUUUGGUCGAUUACCCAGAGGUUUAAAUCAUUCAUAUACACUGCUAUGAUUACAAAUCCUUUAUUUGCAAACCUCUUUAUGAAAAUACAUGGACUGAUGGGAUCAUUUAUAACCUUCCAUACGCCCACUUAGUCUAAGUCCAUGAAAGGAUUUGUCCAGCCUUAUGCAGUGCUGUUCUCGAGAAUCUUUCUUAUCUUUGUGCUCAAUACCCUCUGGUAAUCUCAUAUAUUAUCCAGUGGACUUAUAUAAAUAUGCAGGCAUUACAUCCAUUAGCCGCACAUCAAGUCUUUCUCUUUUAUAUAGCCAGACUUAGCAAAAAUUUAAAUGUCUUAGCAUCCACCACAGGGGAGUAUAUCUCCUCUAUUUUAGGUCUUUGUGUGAAUUCUUGUGCGAUAAGCCGUGUCUGAUAUAUCACGCUUUCACUAUGUUUAUUUCACACAAUCACAAAGACUCAUUUGUCCCACUGGCUUUACAUUGAAUGGUGUCCUUCGUAUUGGACCAAACACAUUCCUCUUCUUAAUGAUUCUUAGCUCCACGUUUUAUGGUCUUGUACCAUUUUAAUCAAUCAGGUCUUUGAGUGCACUCUAGUAUAGACGUGGGCUCCUGAUCCUCAUUUAUUUCAGUUGCUACCUUGUACGCAAAUAUUUUAUCAUUGAUGUCGACAUCUUUUCGGUUCCAUUGUAUUCUAGACAUGUUAUAGUUUAUAGAGAUCUCUUUACACUUUCAGGACCUUGAGGUUUGGCGUCCCAAACCUCAUUGAUUGGUACUUUAGGGUUAUGUCUAUUAGUCGGCCAUGUCUAUGGUUUCUUGAACCUUUUCGGUUUUCCUUGCACCUUUCUUUGAUUUUCGAGGGUUCUUGUCUUUGGAACCUUUUGGGUCUACCACGUUUCUUACGUGUUGUAGCCUCUGUAGCAACUUGAUUAUGUUCCUUGUGAACAUCAAUACGUACUGGUGCAUUACAAGCUGGUAUGUACGAUUUUGUUACUCUCUUUGGGUCAUUAUAGGAAUCUUGGCAACUGUUUUAGCUAGCUUUUGCAGAUAUAUAGUCUUUUGGAUCUCUGAUGGAGUCCAAGGAUCUUGCCAUGUGAAGGAUGUUUGAUUCCAUGUAAGUUCUUUGACCAGCUUGUUAGUCUAUCCACCCAGUGUUGGGAAAACGGAUUCAUUGAGAUGACAAUCCUUGUAUCUGGCCUUUGGCUCGAGAUAGUUAAUGAUGGUGGGAGAAUCAUUUUUAACGUAUAUUCCCAUCCCCUUUUGAGGUCCCAUCAUUUGCUCUCUGUGGUGGUGCUAUGGGUAAAUAGGUGACACACCCAAAUGUCUUUAGAUGGGAUAUAUCUGGCUCCUGACCUGUGAGUAGUUGGGAUGGUGAAUAUCUAUGCUCACUAGAAUGGCCUGAUGCAUAUAAGCUCUUGUUGCAUGUAAUAUUGCGUGUCCCCAAGCAGCUAUUGUGAGUUCAAGUAUGGACAUGUGCCACGGGGUAUACUACUCUCCCCCUCAUGGACAUACUGUAGCCAUAAAACGCUUGGGACAUAAUUUACCAGCAUUAUCUAGACAUAUAGUCUUAAGUAUGUGGGCUCACAGACUUAUGGUCUGGGCCAACAAUCUAGCAAACACCAAGUUUCUAGUUGCUUUGACUGGUGAUGGCCUUAGUAUGAGUUUCCCUUGUGUACAUGCUACACACGUGAGGUCCUUAAGGGGUGUGCCCUUUUGAUUUUAAUAUCAGCUUUACGCAUCAUGUUAGAACCAGGCUGGCUAAGCCGGUCAUGCCAUUAGUGAAUUUCUCAGUAAACCCUUUUGUUUACUGUAUUAGCCUUUAUCAUAUUGACCUUGGCAUAGUAAAGGUCUAUGACGCAGGUAUAGUCUCUAAGACCUUCUCAUGGUCUUGGGUGCUCUUAGUAAUAUAUGGGAAUCCUUUGUUCCCUUCACCCUUAGUUUCAAUGUGGAAACCAUUCAAACACAUUUCUUUGAAACUCAACAAGCCCCUUUGAGCUGGGUGAAUAUGAAGCAUCUGAGGAUGCGUGCCCUUGGGAAUAUGGGCCUGCCAUGGGCCUGCCCUUAGCCUUCACUAAAUUUAGCUAUACCCGCAAUUUGGCUAAUGAACCAUGUCUUUAGAUAUUUCGUUUAUUGAAUUCUCAUAACUUAUAAAUCAAUCAAUUCAAAGUCAUAGAACAUAGAAAACAUCAAGACAAAACAAAACAAGUCAAGAAAACAAAUCAAGAACACUUAGAUGCCGAAAACAAUUAAGCCUCUUCUAGGCAAUCCGAAGUCUCAUAAUCAUCUAUCUUAGGGUCGAAAUCUUCUUCACCAUCGUGAUGAACUAAAUGAGCUUCUAGAUUCUUUUCAAACUCUCUUGAUAGAGAUCAACGAGAUGCUUAGGUGUCCUGCACGUCUUAGUCCAAUGGUUUCCCCAUUCAUCAUUAGUGGCUAACAAGUUUAUUUGAGUGUUGUGGUUUGGGUAUACCGCGGCCUCUACCUUGAUUACGACCAAAGUCGGGUCGGCGGCCUUAACCAUAUGAAUGGUUUCCUUGAUCAUAUAAAUUAUAAUUGCCACUUCUACCACGUUCAUUCCAUUUACCAUGACUGUGGCCAUGAUACUUAUCUCUUUGGACGUGGUUAGACUCUUUAGUCUCAUUAGGCUCUUUAGGCUCUUCAGCCCAAUGGGCUUCUGAUAAUGGGGUAGGACCAGGAGGUCUCAUUUCACUAUUUAUAACUCAUUGUUUUGCUCAGCAAGUAGCAAAACAAGAGUUUAGACUUGCAUAUAUGGUAAAAACCUUUUUCACGAUAUUGUUGCUGAGGCAAUAUAUUGUUUGUGUGAAAGGUCGAGAAUGCUUUCUCUAGCAAGUCAUUCUCAGUAACUUCCUCACCACGGAAUCUCAGUAUUGACACUAUUUUAAAUAGUGCUGAGUUAUACUCAUUCAUGGAUUUGAAUUCCUGGAAUCUGAGAUUCUUUCGAUCGAAUCGGGCUUUUGGGUAAUAGCACCGUUCUUUGGUGGUUAUAUUAAUUUUUUUUUCAACUUUGUCCUGAGGUCCAGAGGAUUCUUAAUAGUGAGGUACUGAUUUUGAGACUGUCAUUGAGGUGAUGGCGUAUGUUAGUAAUCGCCUUAUAUCUUUCUCUUCUGGUGACAUUGUUUCCUUCCACAAUAGAUUCACCAAGCCCUUUUUCCUUUAGGACAAUCUCAGUGUCCAAAGUCCAUUGUAAAUAAUUGUCACCAGAGGCAUUGAGUGUCGUGUAUUCAUAAUAGUUGAUUUCUGACAUCUACAAUAUAUAGAGUUAAAUGAGAACUCAUGUAAUCGGUUAGACCAAGUCAUGCGGUAUUUAAGACCGAGCCAUGCUUGUCUUGAGCAAAUGUUUUCUAAACAAUCAUGUUAUAUAUAUAUGGAUGAAAUCAACCCUAGAAGAUUGAUCUAGUAUGCAACAAAAAAACAACCAAACAAUCGGAUCAUACUAGAUUAGGAUAUUAGGAUUUCGCGGUUAAGUUUUAGGGUUUUAGCGUCCGCGAUUUAUAGUACUAGGGUUUUUGCUAGGGUUUCGGUUUUAUGUAUGGAACUUUCUAUUUAUGGAAACUUUCCUUAUAUGGAACUUUCAAUUUAUGGAAACUUUCUAUUUCUCAUCUAGAAAGAAAUCCUAAACAAACGUGUACUUUAGGGUUUUGGAAUAUUUCCUUAUGAAGGGGUUUCCUAUUUUGGUAACUUUCUAUUUUGGAAAACUUGCUAUUUUACGAAAGUUUCUAUUUCUGGAAACUUUCUAUUUAUGCUUAUUUUGGGAAGCUUUCUAUUACGGGAAAAUUUUGCCAUUUUAGGAAAUUUAAUCGGGAACCGAGACUUAGGGUUUACGAGAACCAGAUUUAAUCGAGGAUUUAAGGUUUCGGUUUUCUUUUGGAUUAUACCGAACAUAAGUCCGGUUUUAGGUCUAUAAUCAAACCGUAACUUGCAGUUAGGGUUUCGCAUUUUUAAAUCGCGAUUAGGAUUAAACCGGUUAAUCAAACCGGUUAUGUUCUGGUUAAGGUUUCGAUUAAGGUUUCGGUUUAGAAUGAAAAACGGAAAUGGCGGUUUGGUUUUCGCGAUUAGGGUUUAUAUUUAUGGAGGUUUUAUGGCAUGAGAUAACAAUCAAGCAAACCGGUUUAGACUUUUAGGGAAUAAGAUCGCGAUUUAGAUUUCUAUCAUUAGGGAUUCAAUUCAAUCAAAAACAAGCAACAUAUUUUAGGGUUUUAUAUAUUGAGAAUCGCGAUUUAAGAUUUUAGGGUUUAAGAUAUGCGCAUAGGAUUUAAUCAAAACAGAUUCUAUUUUAUGAUUGAGGGUUUAGAUUCAUGAGACAAAGCAGAUUCUAUAAACCUAGCAUAUCAAACCUCAAGAACAUACAAAACAGUUCAAUUAACUUGCAAUACACGGAUUAAGGGUUUUAGGGUUUCAAUUUCGAAACAGAUCAGGGUUUUAAACCUCUAAAUCAAUCAAUCAGAUUAUAAAAUCUCUAUCAACCUAACUCACACAGAUUUAAAACCUCAAAGGAUCAUUCAAUUAAUCAACAAAACAAUCCAUGCACACGUAAAUUAGGGUUUCAGAUUUUAGGGUUUUAGUUUGAACAUUAAUCAGAUUCGAUUCUGGGUUUUAGAGUUAGGUAUAUCUUUAACCUUUUGAUGGGUUGAAUGGACCACCAAGAGAUCAUGAACAAGAGCAGGUCGAAUUUUACACGCUGCUGCAACGAACCGCAAACAGUACCGCGAUGAACAGUGUCGACGAUGAACAGUGCCGAUGAAGAACAGUACCGAUGAUGAACAGUACCGCGAUCGGAUCUGAUGAUGUGCGGUUUUUAGGGUUUUAGCAAUUUUUAGGGUUAGGGCUUUUUGAAGGUGGUUUUAUUUCUUUAGAGCGUCGUGCUGAUAACGUGUGAUAAACUGUGUAAUCUUAUUAACACAUAAGAGAGUAUAUAUAUGAGUUUACACGGAAACACAUAGAAGGAGAUAAAAUAUAAUGGGCCUUGGGCCGGUUAUGGAGUCCAUCCAUGAUUUAUAUCAUUUUCGAAAUUGACCCAAUAGAAACGGAGAAGACCACUUAAAAGGAGAUAAUGAAUUGGGCUGGUGCUAGCUAAGCCCAAAUAAUCGAUAUAUUGUUUGACUAAAAAAGGCCUCGAGGCCCCUAACUGAGAGUCUGAGAUUGUGAACGGUUGAGAUAAAAGAUUAAACAAUCCAACGACUAUUCUUAAUUUAACGUUUUAAUUUAAAAUUUGAAAAUUAGAAACCGUAACCGGCGGCGAUGGAGGCGGCGAUAGGGUUAUAGAACCCGACCAUGAGGAUUUUUGACCGGAGACUCUUGAUUCGGUUGAUUCUUGCGUCGGAUUGGAGCUUCAGUGUGUGGAUCUAUGGGUAUCAAAGGUUUUUCAAGGUUACGGAGUGGUUCUCGAGGAGGGUUGAUGAUCGGAGACUUUUAUUUAGGUCGUUUAUCGGGUUGGAUGGGAAUCCCAGAGGGUGGAUUCAUGGGGAUCGAUGGAUUCUAAAGGCUACGGAGUCGCUGUCGAUGAGAUUCGGUGACCUUUGUUUAGGAUCAAUGAUUGUUCUCCAGUCUAUGAGGAUCUCGAUUCAGGAAGAAUCAGAAGUUUGCUGUGUUUUCCGGUUUGGUUUCAAGGCAAAGCCGUGGGGUCUGGUCCCGGGGAGAGAUAUGAAGGAAUACGGGCCUAUUUUGGGGUUUUCGAUUGAUGUAUUGUUGGCCAUGGGUCUGUUUGCAAUGGUUGAUAAGGUUUUUUCGAUGCCAGAGGUAGGAAAGGAAGCCUCAGGGAAGAUUCCGUCGAGGGUUUUGAGAAUCUCAGGGAAGGUUAUGUCAAGGUUUUUGAGAAUUUCAGGUUUUAAGCUGGUUUUUGCUUUCCAAAUUCUGAAAGUACACUCUUCCAGGAGUGGUAAGGAAUCUGCAGUUGAGGUGAUAACGAAGAACUCAUCCUGUUUUCAAGUUUUUGAUGGGAUUCAGAGUCUCGGUCUUGAGCCAACCAUGAUUAGGUUGGAUUCGGUUGAAUUGGGGUUCUGGUUUGGAUUAUCACGGUUGACUCAAGGAUCGGAGAGAGAAACGAAAUCGCAAUUAAAAGCGGUUUUGAGUAGAACCCGAUCUGAUUUAGAUGUUCAAGGGAAGGUUUGAAAUGGUUUUGGUUAAGAAGGUUUGGAUCUGAGAUGUCUCUUUGUGAAGGUUCCUUCUUGGCUUGUAUGGUGGUUAUAAUUCAGAAUUGGUGGUCUUGUAUGGUAAGUCCGGCGGCUUUGUGCUCAAUCUGGUGGUGGUGAGUGGUUGAUUAAUGGGUUUAAUCUAGCUUCUGGGUAUUUAGAAGUUGAUGGAUUGAUUUUGGCAAAGAAAGAGACCAAGAUGGAGAGUUCAGACAUGAUGGUUCCCGGUGGUGGUCGCUGUUUGAUUCAGUUAGUUUUCCGAUUGUAUUGGGAGUUUGAGUUUUUGGAUUUGAGUUUCAAUGGGAUACAAUUUUUAGAUUGCGAUGUGUUGUUGUCGGAAUUUGAGUUUCUUUUAGUCACAAUUUGGUUUUGGGCUGCGGAUCAAAGAUACUUUCGGUUGAAAACAAUUGAAAAGAGACGGUCAGAUCGAGGAAUUUUUAACAAAUGGUUGUCAAAGGAUAAUAGUGGGAGGGUGUUGAUUUCUCUUCCAAGGGCUAUUGUGGGUGGUCAGAAUUUUCCUAAAAAGUAUGAUGUUGGUCGAUUGUGGUUGGAUUUUGAGUGUAUGGAGUUGAGGUUCAGUGGUUGUAACAAACGGUUUUACUACGGUUUUAUUUCCGGUUUUUUAUGGUUGGUUGUGGAUACUAUAAGGGUUAAAAUAUCUAGAUUAAAUUAUGAUUGGAUUUCUUUAAAGAAGAAUCAAAGGAAUGAAGGCCAUAACUCGACGUACUAUGGUACGGUAAAGGACUUCAUGGGUGGACGCAACCCACCAAUACACAAGGUUGAUAAAUGAAGGUUUUGAGUUGGAAUUGUCAAUGACUUGGGAAUAAGGCAACUAUCGGUUAUUUUAGGGAUAUAUGGAAACAACACCGGCCAGACUUUUUAUUUCUUUCGGAAACAAAACAACCUUCUUGGUUCAUGGAAAAAUUUAUCGGUCAUUUUGGUUACAAAAAUUUAAAAACGGUUGAUCCUAUUGGUUGUAGUGGCGGUUUAGCCCUUUAUUAUAAUAAUGAUUUUAAUGCUUCAAUUAUUUAUGAAAGUAAUCGGUUAAUUGAUGUUGAAGCGGUGA